AUUGAACGCUGGCGGCAGGCCUAACACAUGCAAGUCGAACGGUAACAGGAAGAAGCUUGCUUCUUUGCUGACGAGUGGCGGACGGGUGAGUAAUGUCUGGGAAACUGCCUGAUGGAGGGGGAUAACUACUGGAAACGGUAGCUAAUACCGCAUAACGUCGCAAGACCAAAGAGGGGGACCUUCGGGCCUCUUGCCAUCGGAUGUGCCCAGAUGGGAUUAGCUAGUAGGUGGGGUAACGGCUCACCUAGGCGACGGUCCCUAGCUGGUCUGAGAGGAUGACCAGCCACACUGGAACUGAGACACGGUCCAGACUCCUACGGGAGGCAGCAGUGGGGAAUAUUGCACAAUGGGCGCAAGCCUGAUGCAGCCAUGCCGCGUGUAUGAAGAAGGCCUUCGGGUUGUAAAGUACUUUCAGCGGGGAGGAAGGGAGUAAAGUUAAUACCUUUGCUCAUUGACGUUACCCGCAGAAGAAGCACCGGCUAACUCCGUG
rnacentral:rRNA from 1 species